UACGUAGGGCGCAAGCGUUAUCCGGAAUUAUUGGGCGUAAAGAGCUCGUAGGCGGUUUGUCGCGUCUGCUGUGAAAGACCGGGGCUCAACUCCGGUUCUGCAGUGGGUACGGGCACACUAGAGUGCAGUAGGGGAGACUGGAAUUCCUGGUGUAGCGGUGAAAUGCGCAGAUAUCAGGAGGAACACCGAUGGCGAAGGCAGGUCUCUGGGCCGAUACUGACGCUGAGGAGCGAAAGCGUGGGGAGCGAACAGG
rnacentral:rRNA from 1 species